AUGACCCAAGAGACCAAUGAGACAUACAGAACCACAGGGAGGACCGUGGUCACCAAGCUAUCCUCCUCAGGAGGGGGAGGGAUCUCAGGAUGGGGAACAUUCCAGAGAAUGAGCGAAGCCAACGGAACUCUGAGAAGCCAGGAUGGGCAAGGCAAGUACCAGGCGUGGACUGCAAGCAGGAACAAUACCAUGAGGAGUAACUCUUCGAAGUACUCACGAUCCUUCGGCCUGCUGUCGGACCAGCACAUUUCAGAGCACAUAGACCGGAGGCUGUAUAUGAUUGGAGAUGAGGUGGACUACCAACCCUACGAGUACAGAUACGAGGGGAGAGGCAGCAAGUGCCAGUCGCUGGAUGAGCUAUCGCUAAGUAACCAGGGGGAUGACUUGACGUUCCUAGGGGACCUGGGGUCAAAGUUCAACACCCUGGGGGGCAUCUGUCGCCAGGACAUGUAGGAGAGGAACAUUAGGGUGUAGACACACACACCUGGCUGGACUGGGAAAUGGUGUUUAUUAGACACGUCUGUCAUCGUCCCCUGUUUGAGGUGAAUGGGGGGGGGGAUGACCUAUCAGUUGAAGAAGACACAGCUACACCAAACUUCCUCCAUUGUGAUUUUGGAUCAAGCUUUGCAUUAUCGACAUCAGUGGGGUAUUUUCUUACAGACCGAAACUGUUGUGGAUUGGCUUUUACCCAAAAGAAGGACUGGGAGAGACUGCUGAUAUUUUUGUCUGACACAAUGAAUGAUGAACUUACUGUACUGAAUAAACCGUAUCAUGCUCGGAUGGCUUUAUGGACUUCGGUUUUGACAGGGCUGGGGUGUGUUUGUAUGGUGUUUUGUUAUGUUAUGUGUUUUUUUAUCAUCACCACGCUUCAUAGUAUUUUCAACACAGAAUUGUAUAAUCUCUUGAUAUACUGGUAAUGCCGGAAUGAGAUUUACUUCAAUGCUAUGACUUCGAUAGAAAUGUCGAAAUGUCAACACCACUUCUGUGGGAACAUGAGCAUUGUGUGAAUCAUACUUUUUAUGACCUUUUUUCUGCUUAGGAUAUGGAUAUGGAUUUACCCAAGUUGCUUAAAAUGUUUAUUAAAAAAAUUACCUGGAAUUAAUGUGUACAUUUGCCAUUAUGACAACCUUAACCUCCUUGCCAUCCAAGUGAGAGGAUAAACCCACCACAGAGUAGAUGCAAUAUCUACAUAAGUACAAUGUAAUUACUAGGUGUUACACUGGAUUUAGCUAGUUAAAAUGAAGUGUAUCUUGAGGGGUACUUACUUGUACUUAAUGUGUACUUAUAUAGUGCGUUACCCAUCCUGACAACCUGGCCCUCAAUUUAAAGCUUCCGGAGCAAGAAGUGAGAAAAUAAACACAUUAGUAUACCACAGAGUACAUGUAAUGUCUGCAUAAGUACAAUGAAUUAAUAGGCAUUACACAGGAUUUAGCUAGUUUAAGUUAAGUGUAUUUCAAUGUAAUUAUCAUUAUUAUUAUCGCCCUGGCCAUAGAGAGGCUUUUUAUUCUCUAUUUUGGUUAGGUCAGGGUGUGACUAGGGUGGGCGUUCUAUGUUAUUUUUUCUAUGUUUUUGUUCUAUGUUUUGUAUUUCUGGUUUUGGCCUGGUAUGGUUCCCAAUCAGAGGCAGCUGUCAAUCGUUGUCUCUGAUUGAGAAACAUAUUUAGGCAGCCUGUUUUCCCACUAUGGGUUGUGGGUAGUUAUUUUCUGUUUAGUGUGUGUUGCACCUGACGGAGCUGUUUCGGUUGUGCCUUUUGUUACUUUGUAUUUAGUGUUCAGUUAUAUUUAAUAAAAUGCCGAACACGUACCACGCUGCACCUUGGUCCUCACCUUCUUCCACCAACGACAAUCAUUACAGUAAUGACUUACUACUCAUUACGAAGUGAAAAUACCUACAAACAUAAGAUGAGCUUCUACUUUAGUCAACUUUAUUGCAACAUCUAAAAAUAUCUUACAUUUCUUACCAAAAAUUAAGGGUUUAUAUGGUUAAUAAAUUGAUUAAUUAGAUUAAACAAACAUAUAAGCUUCCUCAAUAACAUUAAUAUGUAGCCUACAGUUUGGUGAGUAGCUUAGAUCAUUGUUUUCCAACUCCAGUCCUGGACUAUUCCCAACAUUAAACAUUUGUUGUAGCCCUGGACAAACCUGAUUCAACUCAUAAAGGGCUUGACGAUUAGUUGACAAGUUGAAUCAGGUUGUGUUUGCCUGGGGCUUCAAUAAAAAUGUGUAAUGCUUGGGAUACCCGAGGACUGGAGUUGGGUAACACUGACCUAGAUAGUUAAUUUAGAACAACAUGCUUGUGUUUUUCUUCGCUUUUUAAUAAGCCUUAAGAGUCUAAGGGGGGAUGUCAUACCAAGGAUCAUUUACGUAGCUAUUUGAUUUAGAAUUUUAAGACCCAUUGAUGUACCUGUAAAUAUAAAUAAAUACAUUAUUUGAUGAAAAAAAUGUUUGGGCCUUAUUCCCAUUGUGCUUUUAGCCCAUACAAACUAAUUGAAUAACAAAUUCACUACAUGGAACAACGGAUAGUCCCCCCCCCCAAAAAAAUCUAAAUGAUGUUUGUUCUGAAGUCUCUGUCCUAUAUCUGAGAAUGAUCAGGAAACAUGAGUUAUUUUUUUGUAUCCAAGCAGUCUCCAUAUACAGUAUACUGUACUUCCCAUUCAUUUUUUUCAACUGGUACUGGGGAACCUUCAGACGAGUCUUGUUAGGCCUGUGGGCAUCAUAGAGCAAAGCAUGUAAGUGUUUGUGAGAGUCUCACCUUUACAUAGAUGGGUCAUAUUAUUGUGAUGCCCAAACUGUUUCGGAC
rnacentral:lncRNA from 1 species